UACGUAGGCAGCAAGCGUUGUUCGGAGUUACUGGGCGUAAAGGGUGCGUAGGCGGCUUUUUAAGUUUGGUGUGAAAUCUCCCGGCUCAACUGGGAGGGUGCGCCGAAUACUGAGAGGCUAGAGUGUGGGAGAGGAAAGUGGAAUUCCUGGUGUAGCGGUGAAAUGCGUAGAUAUCAGGAGGAACACCGGUGGCGAAGGCGGCGACCUGGUCCUAUACUGACACUCAUACACGAAAGCGUGGGUAGCAAACAGG
rnacentral:rRNA from 1 species